rnacentral:rRNA from 1 species
AUUGAACGCUGGCGGCAGGCCUAACACAUGCAAGUCGAACGAGUGGCGGACGGGUGAGUAAUGUCUGGGAAACUGCCUGAUGGAGGGGGAUAACUACUGGAAAAGGUAGCUAAUACCGCAUACCAUCAGAUGUGCCCAGAUGGGAUUAGCUAGUGGGGGGGGUAACGGCUCACCAAGGCGACGACCCCUAGCUGGUCUGAGAGGAUGACAAGCCACACUGGAACUGAGACACGGUCCAGACUCCGACGGGAGGCAGCAGUGUGGAAUAGGUCACAAUGGGCGCAAGCCUGAGGCAGCCAUGCCGCGUGUAUGAAGAAGUCCUUCGGGUUGUAAAGUACUUUCAGCGGGGAGGCGUUACCCGCAGAAGAAGCACCGGCUAACUCCGUGCCAGCAGCCGCGGUAAUUC